rnacentral:lncRNA from 1 species
CAUAAUUCAGCCUAUAUCUCAAUUUUAAGCCUGGGUGGGAUUCUAAAAAGUCAGUUGAGAUUUAGCCAAGCCUCCUCCUCGCUGUGACAGAAACUUCACAAAAUAUCCUAUGGGAGCAGAUCCCUAGAGAGUGUGGCUGAGUCUCCUCAGCAUCUGUAGCCUUGGGAAAACUGGAUGCAUCAUCGACUCAGGGAACGCAAUCAGUGAGCGUCUUCUUGAAACGUUGAGACCCUGUAUGCGGUGGUUGGAAUGAGAACGGCCUCCCUAGACACUGCUCGUGGGUGAGACAGAGAUAAGACAGGAGUAGAAGAGAGAGCAGCGAUAGCCAACAGGCGCUCAUAGCUUCUGCUUUAAACCAAGCUCAGAGGAGAGAAGGUGAGAAAACACGCAUAUUACGUUUCAGUUCUAAAUCUCUCCAAGCAAGACACACCCAAGGCACGGAUGGAGUUGGUAGUUGCUAUAUCUUGAAUCAAGACUUGUGUGCUAAAGGACAGGUCACCAGCCUGUAAUGGCACUACAUGGAGUUGCUGAAAAUUUGAGGGGAAGAACACAAUUAGAAGAAGUUCCGUCUUUGAGGUCAUGCCUUGAAGGGAAUAGUGAGUCCUCGGACCCUUGUCUCUUUCUUUGCUUUCUGAUUAGCAUAAGGCGAACGGG